AUUGAACGCUGGCGGCAUGCUUUACACAUGCAAGUCGAACGGUAACAGGCCGCAAGGUGCUGACGAGUGGCGAACGGGUGAGUAAUGUAUCGGAACGUGCCCAGUCGUGGGGAUAACGCAGCGAAAGCUGUGCUAAUACCGCAUACGAUCUAUGGAUGAAAGCGGGGACCGUAAGGCCUCGCGCGAUUGGAGCGGCCGAUAUCAGAUUAGGUAGUUGGUGGGGUAAAGGCUCACCAAGCCAACGAUCUGUAGCUGGUCUGAGAGGACGACCAGCCACACUGGGACUGAGACACGGCCCAGACUCCUACGGGAGGCAGCAGUGGGGGAAUUUUGGACAAUGGGCGCAAGCCUGAUCCAGCAAUGCCGCGUGCAGGACGAA
rnacentral:rRNA from 1 species